UAGGCAUGCAAGUCGUACGAAUCCCAGGGGGAAACUCCUGGGGGAAGUGGCGAAAGGGGCAGUAAGGCAUGGACAACCUGCCCUCAGGUCUGGGAUAGCCCUCCUAACGGAGGGGUAAAACCGGAUAACCCAGCGGAGAGGCCUCUCUCUGCUGGCAAAGGAGACGCCUGGGGAGGGGUUCAUGUGGCAUUAGCUAGUUGGCGGGGUGACGGCCCACCAAGGCGAAGAUGCCUAGCAGGUGUGAGAGCACGACCUGCGCCACUGGCACUGGGACACUGGCCAGACUCCUACGGGAGGCUGCAGUCGAGGAUCUUCGGCAAUGGGCGCAAGCCUGACCGAGCGACGCCGCGUGAGCGAUGAAGGCCUUCGGGUCGUAAAGCUCUGUCGGGGGGGAGAAAGGGGCAACCUUGAUCGACCCCCGGAGGAAGCACGGGCUAAGUUCGUGCCAGCAGCCGCGGUAAGACGAACCGUGCGAACGUUGUUCGGAAUCACUGGGCUUAAAGGGCGCGUAGGCGGGCCGCAUAGCCAAGGGUGAAAUCCUCCGGCUCAACCGGAGAAGGGCCUUUGGUACUGGCGGCCUCGAGGGGUGCAGGGGCGUGCGGAACUCAGGGUGGAGCGGUGAAAUGCGUAGAUAUCCUGAGGAACACCGGUGGCGAAGGCGGCACGCUGGACACCUUCUGACGCUGAGGCGCGAAAGCCAGGGGAGCAAACGGGAUUAGAUACCCCGGUAGUCCUGGCCCUAAACGUUGGGUACUGGGUAGCGGCCCCUUCGGGGUCGCUGCCGCAGCGAAAGUGCUAAGUACCCCGCCUGGGGAGUAUGGUCGCAAGGCUGAAACUCAAAGGAAUUGACGGGGGCUCACACAAGCGGUGGAGCAUGUGGCUU
rnacentral:rRNA from 1 species